CGGGGUGCAGCAGGCGCGAAAACUUUGCAAUACACGAAAGUGUGACAGGGUCAUCCCGAGUGCCGACCGCUGAGGUUGGCUUUUACCCAGUCUAGAAAGCUGGGGGAAUAAGGAGAGGGCAAGUCUGGUGUCAGCCGCCGCGGUAAUACCAGCUCUCCGAGUGGUGUGGACGUUUAUUGGGCCUAAAGCAUCCGUAGCUGGCUGAACAAGUCCCCUGUUAAACCCACCGAUUUAAUCGUUGGUCUGCGGGGGAUACUGCUCGGCUAGGGGACGAGAGAGGCAGACGGUAUUCCCGGGGUAGGGGUGAAAUCCUAUAAUCCCGAGAAGACCACCAGUGGCGAAGGCUGUCUGCUAGAACGCGCCCGACGGUGAGGGAUGAAAGCUGGGGGAGCGAACCGGAUUAGAUACCCGGGUAGUCCCAGCUGUAAACGAUGCAGACUAGGUGUUUGGACGGCCACGUGCCGUUCUAGUGCCGCAGGGAAGCUGUUAAGUCUGCCGCCUGGGAGUACGAUCGCAAGAUUGAAACUUAAAGGAAUUGGCGGGGGAGCAC
rnacentral:rRNA from 1 species